UGACUGCCUGCCUGUGUGUGACUGUCUGUGUGUGUGACUGUCUGUCUGUGUGACUGCCCAUGUAUGUGACUGCCUGUGUGUGUGACUGUCUGUCUGUGUGUGUGACUGCCUGUGUGUGUGACUGCCUGUAUGUGACUGCCUGCCUGCCUGUGUGUGUCUGUCUGUAACUAUCUGUCUGUGUGUGACUGCCUGUCUGUGUGUGUGACUUUCUAUCUGUGUGACUGCCUGCCUGUGUGUGUAUAACUGUCUAUGUGUGUGUUACUGUGUGUCUGUCUGUGUGUGUGACUGCCUAUGUGACUGUCUGUCUGUGUGUGUCACUGUAGCUGUGCCAUUGUUUGUGCCUGUGCCUGUAUGUGUGACUGUGCCAUUGUUUGUGCCUGUGCCUGUAUGUGUGACUGCCUUUAACUGAGUGUGUGUGUACAUGCCUGUAACCGAGUUUAAAUUUCCCCCACCCCUUCCUGUCAAGGCCGCACUUUGACUGACAGACGCUCAC